rnacentral:rRNA from 1 species
UUGACCUCGGAUCAGGUAGGGAUACCCGCUGAACUUAAGCAUAUCAAUAAGCGGAGGAAAAGAAACCAACAGGGAUUGCCCCAGUAACGGCGAGUGAAGCGGCAAGAGCUCAAAUUUGAAAGCUGACUCCUUCGGGGUCCGCAUUGUAAUUUGCAGAGGAUGCUUCGGGAGCGGUCCCCAUCUAAGUUCCCUGGAACGGGACGUCAUAGAGGGUGAGAAUCCCGUAUGGGAUGGGGUGUCCGCGCCCGUGUGAAGCUCCUUCGACGAGUCGAGUUGUUUGGGAAUGCAGCUCUAAAUGGGUGGUAAAUUUCAUCUAAAGCUAAAUAUUGGCCGGAGACCGAUAGCGCACAAGUAGAGUGAUCGAAAGAUGAAAAGCACUUUGAAAAGAGAGUUAAAAAGCACGUGAAAUUGUUGAAAGGGAAGCGCUUGCGACCAGACUCGCUCGCGGGGUUCAGCCGGCAUUCGUGCCGGUGUACUUCCCCGCGGGCGGGCCAGCGUCGGUUUGGGCGGUCGGUCAAAGGCCCUCGGAAGGUAACGCCCCCAGGGGCGUCUUAUAGCCGAGGGUGCAAUGCGACCUGCCUAGACCGAGGAACGCGCUUCGGCUCGGACGCUGGCAUAAUGGUCGUAAGCGACC